rnacentral:rRNA from 1 species
GACGAACGCUGGCGGCGUGCCUAACACAUGCAAGUCGAGCGGGGAGAGAUUUUCGGAUUUCUCUUUAGCGGCGGACGGGUGAGUAACACGUGGGUAACCUGCCUCAAAGAGGGGGAUAGCCUUCCGAAAGGAAGAUUAAUACCGCAUAAUAUCAGGAAGCUGCAUGGCAUUCUGAUUAAAGGAGCAAUCCGCUUUGAGAUGGACCCGCGGCGCAUUAGCUAGUUGGUGAGGUAACGGCCCACCAAGGCGACGAUGCGUAGCCGACCUGAGAGGGGGAUCGGCCACAUUGGAACUGAGACACGGUCCAGACUCCUACGGGAGGCAGCAGUGGGGAAUAUUGCACAAUGGGGGAAACCCUGAUGCAGCAACGCCGCGUGAGUGAUGAAGGCCUUCGGGUCGUAAAGCUCUUUGAUCAGGGACGAUAAUGACGGUACCUGAAAAACAAGCCACGGCUAACUACGUGCCAGCCGCCGCCGUAACAC